CUCUAAUUUGAUAUCUUCACAUUCUCUCUGUUCUAUCUUAUCUCUCUCAAAACUCCCUCUCUCUCAAAGAACCAUCUCUCUGAACAAUUUCACACAUUAGUGUCUACAAUGGUCUUAGGUGUUCAACAAUUGAAGAAAGAUUUAAAUCAAAAGAUUUAUAACGAAGUUAUCCCCGAUGUUCUUAUUUACGGCGAUCCUGAUUUUAUUUUUCCUCGAGUUACAUACAUUUUACUUCCAUGAAUUCAUCUGUUUGAUUUUUUUAAAAUGUUAAUAUUCAUAUGUUUUUGCAAUAGGUAUGUUUUGGCUCACUUGCUUCUUAUGGUAUUCAAUGAAAUACUACCCUCUCUAAGAAUUACCAUGGCUUCUAAGAUGAUCUGUUACAUUUUGUUUUUUCUCAAUGAUUUGUGAAUUUGGUUUUUACUCAAGGAUAGCAAAAUUCACAUUCUUGGACACUUUCAGAAAGAUUUUGAAGGUUGGGGUGUCAGUGAAGAAUUUGGGGGCGAAAUUUGGUGGUUAUGGAUCAUUUUUGUCGACCUAUCAGCGCUCUCCAGCUUGGAAUCAUCUAAGAAAUCCAACAUAAAGAUCAAACUCAAAAUUAGCCCAGAUCUCAGAAUAACUUCAGCUUUGAGACUGUUAUUCUAGCAGAUAGUUUAGACGAUGAUAUUAAGUCUCUUUACUUGAGCAUCACCGCUGCAUCUGGACACGAGGUGGUCUAAUUUGCCUCAUGAAAUGACUGUUGUAUUCAGUGGGUUAUGCAUUGAAGAUGUGCAUUAGUAGCUGGAGUCUAUUUUCCAAGUUUAUUUAGAUAUAGUUUGUAUUACCUCUCCAAGUCUAGACAUUUCCUUAUGCAUCUUUCUCUUAUAAUGUAAAACCUGGAUUCAUGCUUAUUUGUAACAAGAUUGUUGUUUCUUAUAUUAUGGAGCCCAGAACUUAUAAUAUAAAAUGGAGUACAUUUUUUCAGAUCUUGUCUAAGAGAGGAGUCACUAUAAUAUCUGGUAAUUUAUGCUAAUGCUGGCAGAUUAACCGUGAACUACUUUGAUGAUAACAAGUUUGUAGCUUCAAUGAGAAUAGUAGCACGCAUGCAGGUUGGACAUGUCAUUGAUGAUGGAUGGAACUAAGGUUGCAGCGAAUACCAUUGAAGGAGCGGUUGGAUAGGUCGCACAUACGGUUUCUGAGCUUGCGGCAAAGCUUUGAAUGAAGGAGGAAGUGAUGAUAUCUUAGUCGUUGUUACUAAAGCUAGUGAUAUUGGAAAUAAGAAAUGUAACAUGAAGAAUGUCUAAUUUCAAUUUAUGUAAAUUAGUGUUGGUUAAUUGAUAGCAGAAUACGCCUUAAAGUUUUACACUUUCAGAGCAACUUGGUGCUCUCUUUGUAAUGUUGGUAUGCAACUUGAAUUGAAAUUUUUUGUUA